GGUGAUUACUCUCCUAAAAUUGAGCACUGAUGAGUCUAGUAAUAUUCCUACAUCUGAGUCAGAAGAGCUGGAUUUAAAUUUUGGUUCUGCCACUUUAUGGUUACGUGAUUUUAGGCAGUCAUAUUGCCACUAUGAGCCUCAGCUUCUCCCUCUGUAAAAUGAGACUGAAAAUCUCUGUAUUGCCUGAGAGAAUUAUUGUGAGGAUCAAAUGAGACAAUGUACAGUAAAGAUUUUUUUAUUUUUAUUUUUUAACUGCAAAAUACUGCUAAAAUGACAAGGAGAGAUCCCAUCAUCUGUGGCUCCUUUUCUUUGAGGAUUUUCAUGCACUUCCAAGCCUAAAUGGGAAGUUCCCUAUGGCACAGUGUAAGUUAACACUCAUCACAUGGGAUAGCUGACCUUCUCGUUGACUGCUGGUAAACCAUAAUUUUCCUCCCCUUCUGCACAGAUUCUUUUUUUACUUGAAAGGAGGGUUACGAGGGAAAGCUAAGGAAAGCAGCCUCAGAUAAUAAAUCCCAGCUUGCCUGACUCCAAAUUGCAGGUGGCUAUGGAGGUGAUUGGCCCUGGUUCUGGAAGCUCCCUCCUCAGCCACAGUUGCGCUCUACCUUUUGUAGCCUCACCCUUGAAGGCUGAGGGAAGAGGAAGGUCAUACUCUUCGGAUCUUCCUGUCUGAUUAGAUCUAGUAAGGACAUUGUAAGCUUUCCUCCCAAGAUGAGGCAGCUCUGUCAGAUCUGAGAGACAUUUAUCUUCCUGAAACACACACUAACUAAUUUGUCAGUCACAGAUGAAGAUAAGGGGAUAAUGAGAAGGAAGGGAAGGGGAAGUGGCCAUUUUGAUAGGCAGGGAGCACAUUCUUAGGGUCAUGCCUCCUCCUGUACUUGGAGAGGAAAGAUGGCUGAUACAGCAUUCAUGGAGGAGAGCAGGGAGGCAUGCAAAGCCCUGCAGUGUUUAUGGGAGGAAGAGUUCAAAGACCAGAAUGCAAAUUUCAGCCUGGUCACCUCUCAGCUGGGUGACUUCUCUGAGCUGCAGUUCCCUAGUCCAUAAAGUGAGAACACUGAUGGUGAUGAUACUUUCCUAAAAUCACAGGAUUAUCUGACAAUUCAAUAAGACAAGAGGUAUGACAGCAUACUUCCCCCUGCCUUCCUUAUGCCUCCUGCAUCCCAUAUCCCACACCCCUUGCUCUUUCCAUCAAAACUGACCCAUUUGUGUAGUUGAUAAGUUUACCAACCCCUGCUGCUGAACAUGUUGGUGCAAACAGUUGAUAUUUCAGCCUUCUGAUGAAACAGGGUUGCCUUGUGCAUUGUCAACAGCCUUGUGAUGUCUUCAAUUAUUUAAUUUCUGUACUAGAGGGAGGAAUCAAGAAUCCCUGGAAGGCUGCACUGGGGAGGGGGAGCAGAACUAGAAGAGUCUGAAUAGGCAGGCUUCAUGAGUUCAACUUUCACUUCAACUAAAGCAAACCCCUUAUCUAUUUUACAUAUUGGAUUUCCUCGAAGGAUAUACCUGAAUAGAGGAGAGCUGCUUCAGAGGAGAAGAAAACAGAUAAUAAUGAAACAUUAGGCUGGAAGCAGUGGCUCAUGCCUGUAAUCCCAGCACUUUGGGAGGCUGAGGCAGGCAGAUUGCUUGAGUUCAAGAGUUCAAGACCAACCUAGGCAAUAUGGUGAAACCUCGUCUCUACCAAAAAUAUAUAUAUAUAUAUAUUAACUGGUUGUAGUGGCAUGCGUCUGUGGUUGCAGCUACUUGGGAGGCUGUGAUGGGAAGAUUACUUGAGCCUGGGAGGCAGAGCUUGCAGUGAGCCGAGAUUGCACCAUUGCACUCCAGCCUGGGUAACAAUGAGACUCUGUCUAAAAAGUCAUUAUCAUCAUCAUCAUCAUUGAUAUGGUUUGGCUGUGUCCCCAACCAAAUCUCAUAUUGAAUUGUAGCUCCCAUAAUUCCCACGUGUGGUGGGAGGGACACAGUGGGAGGUAAUUGAAUCAUGGCGGCAGGUCUUUCCUAUGCUGUUUUCAUGAUAGUAAGUAAGUCUCACGAGAUCUGAUGGUUAUUAUAAGGGGAAUUUUCCUGCACAAGCUCCCUUUGCUGGCUGCCAUGCAAGUAAGAUGUGACUUGCUCCUCCUUGCCUUCCACCAUGAUUGUGAGGCUUUCCCAGCCACAUGGAACUAUAUCACCUCCACUGUCCUGUAGAUAUGACCUUCCAGCUCCCCUACAGGGGCUGAUGAAGGAGAAAUUGAAAGCACCAGCAGUUUCAGUUCCUGCUUAAGGCUACCUCAAGGAAAGCCCAUUUUCCAGGUUUCAGCUCAUAAGAGCAUCAGAGUAUCUGUGAUUUCCCAGAGGAUGGAGGACCUCAUCUGCUAUCCAGGCCCACCUCUGGACCGUCCACCUCCAGGGAAAUUGUCCCGACAAUUUCAAGCCCCAGUAAUCUCUCCCCUCUGGAACUCCAUUUGAACUGCAGUUUGGACACAGGAUCGACCUCUUAAUAUACACUGUCCGGGAAAGGAACCGGAAAAAACCUUGAGGUCACUGACUGCUCUGUGCUGGCUUAUUUCUGUGUCUUUGCUCUUGCUGUUCAUGCCACCUGGAAUGUCCUUGCCCACUCCCUUCCCCUGAGUGAUUCUUAUUAUCCCCCAAGUCUCCACGUAGACAGUGAUUUCUUUGCAGUGCUUUUAUCAAUUCCUUGCCUCCUUCCAGUUUUCUCAUGCUCGGUUACGGAUGCUUCUUUUAUGCUCAAAUAGAUCCAUCACGAUUAAUUACACUAAGUUGUAAUUGCCGCUUCAGAACGACCACCCAUCUCCAGACUACGGAACACUGGCAGACAAGGGGCUGUUUUACUUCGUGUACCCUUAUUGCCAUAGAUGUAAUAGUCUAGUACAAAUAAUUCGAAUCUCACAAUCUAGAUCAAGACAUCCAUUUCCACAUGCAAAAAAACAGUUGCUAAUAUUAUUAUUAAUGUUGCUAAUUGUUAUGAUUACCUUCAAACGCACAAUAUUCAACUUUCCCUUGUUGCUUCGAAGGAAAAAUCUUGAAUACGUGAGAUAGGUGCAGAAAGGGGAAAUGGAAGGGCUGGGAUGGGAGAAACCUUACCAUUUAAAAAAUGAUUAAAGGACUCUGGAACUUCUGGCACAAAUAAGAAGCUCAAAAGAUAUGAUUUUCUAAAUUCACUUCUCAGAAGAGAGUCCUGGGACAGAACAUUUUCUGCAGGACUCCAGAGAACAGGUGCAGGGGGAAAAUAAAAGUUAUGGAGCAGAGUUUGUGUUUCAUAAGAAAACAUAGGCAGAGCUUUAAAGCUGUUCAACAUAAGAAAAGGCUGUCAUGUGAGAUAGAGAGUCCCCCAGCGUAGGAGCAUUCAAGUGGGCAUUGCAUGCGUAAAUAUAUCAGGACAUAAGGGAAUGAAAAAUAUGAUGUGUGUUUAAUAAUUUGCAGAGAGAAAACUGGAGUUUGAGGUUAUAGAGGUGGCAGUGGCCAGAAGAGAUGAGGAAUAUGCAGAACUGAGUGGGAGAGGCUAAAACUGUAGCUUACAGACUGAGCACAGAAAACUGUGUUUUGCAUUUUUUUUUUCUGCAGGAAUUGGGGACCAUGGAAGGAUUUGAUGUGGAAAGUGACAUGAUUAUUGAUAUGCAUUUGGAAGUUUACUCUAUUGGCUAUAAGCAAGAUGGAGUGGAGGAAACAAGCCUAGAAAAUAUGCAGCUACUACAGUAGUCCAGGUGAAGGAGGCCUGAAUUAAGGCAGGGGCAGGAGGGAUGAUGAAGAGCAGGGAUAUUAAGGACAUAGUGCAAAAGCGUAAGGGACAGGCUGUAUCAACCAGUCCUUCCAAGUAGCUUCCACUCACUGUCUGCCACCCCUGUGUCUGCCCUCCUGGAAAACAAAUCAGCCUUCCUUGUUUGCAAGAGCAGACUCAAACUGUCUGUCGCUAGGCUGCGAAGGUUGCAGUCACCUUGAGUGGAUUCCCCACGCAGCUCAGUGAGAAGCAGAGCCUUCCCUCUGCUGCUCUGUCAGCUCCACUUUGCAUCAAAACUGCUUUGUGUGUCACCAAGUUAUUAAAGUUGCGGAUUGCAGUGCUGUGUCAGGCGAUGUUGUGCUAAAACUGGGUCAGAGAGGGCUGUCUCUCUGGCAAGACGUGGGCUCCUGGUGUCCCCACAUGCCAGCCCUGGUUGCAAAGACUCCUUGGCUGCCUCUCCCCAGCUGGCUUUGAGAGGAGGACAUAAUAACCCUGUAGCUUGGCCUUUGUAUUUAGCAGCUCCAGUGGUAAAUAAUUCCCUACAAGAAGAUUGAAAAGGGCUCCUCUGUUCUCUCGGUGAUUCUUUGUGUCCAUAAAGAUGACAAGGUCGUGGUUUUUUCAAUUCUCUUUUGAAUCCUUCCUUUUCACAGAUAGAACAGCUAUAGAAAGUGAAGAAUCAGCUGUUUCAAAACGCAGGCACCCAAGUGUCCCCUCUGCUGUUCCAGGCAGCCCAGGGACAAAAGGGAAACAGAGGGGUACAAACAAACAGAAAUAUGUUCACAAAGGGUGAAAGGGUGUCAGGAAGAGACACAAAACUCCACUAUGUCUCUGUGGUCUCAUGGACCAGUCCAUGGACCAUGUCUCAAGGAAUGGUCUCAUAACAAGGGAGACACAGAGAUGCAAGUUUGGGAUCAGAAGAAGAAAUAAGUUCCUGGACGGAGGGAGCUCCCUCAAUUCAAUUCAAUUCAAUCCAGUGCACAUGUAUUGAACACCCACUAUGUCAUAGUUGUGGAUACAUCCACGAACAAAAUAAACAAAACAAAGAUCCCUGUCCUUGUAGAGUUUAUAUUCUAGCAGAGGGAGAAAGAUAAUAAAUGAUAGACAUAAUAAAUAAUUUAUUAUGUAAAUAAUUACAUAAUAUCAAUCAUCUGGUAUGUUAGAAGGUGAUAAGCUAUGGAACAUUUUCAUAGGUAAAAAUCCAUGUAAAAAUCUAUGGAGAAAAAGAGACAGAGAAUGGAAAAGAGGAAUGUCAAGGGACAGGAUUGCAAUCUUAAAAAGGGUGUCUAGGCCUCAUUAUAAAGGUAAUAUUAAAAGCAAGAUUGAAAAAGGUAAGUGAGUUAUCCUAGUGGAUUAUCUGAGGGAAGCAUGUUCCAUAAAGCGGGAAGAUCCAUUUCAAAGGCCCUAGGUAGUAGUAAUGUGCUUGGCAGGUCCAAGGCACACCAAAGAGGUCAUUGAGGCUGGAGGUACAUAGGUGACAGGAAGAAUAUAGAAAAUGAAUAUGGAGCAAGGUGAGGGAGAGCCUAUAGGUCUAUGUAAGGACUUUGGUUUUUACCAAGUGUAUCAUAAGAAGCCCUUGCCCCAGAAGUUCAUGAAAGCUCAGCAUGAAGUAGAACAUAAACUAGAAAACAUAUUCUAGAAUACUGGUUCUCAAAUGAGGAUUAUUUUGCUUCCCAGGGGAUGCUUCACAACGUCUGGAAACAUUUUUGGUUGUCACAAUCAAGGCAGAUAUGCUACCAGCAUCCAGUGAACAGAGUCCAGGAAUGCUCUUAAACAUCCUACAAUGGACAGGACAGCCCUGUACAGCAAAUAAUUAUCCAGCACAUAAGUCAAUAGUGUUGAGGCUGAGAAACCCUGCUCUAGAAGAAAGUAGAGCUUCAGUGGCUGGCAGGCUACAUGUUCUUUGAGUAAAACGUACCAUUACUUUUAGGAGAAUCUAACAGGCCAACUUACCCUUUAGGUAUGGUAGGCAUAGUGACUAAAAUCCAUAUUUUCAGAGGGCUACAAUAAGUUUUAAAUUUUUGAUAUUAAAAGAAAAAUAUAGAGUAGAUUUUGCAUUAUAUUAUCUUUAUUCCAAAACAGUCAUAAAAUAUUGGGGUUUUUUGUUUUGUUUUGUUUUGUUUUAAGAUGGAGUCUUGCUGUGUUACCCAGGCUGGAGUGCAGUGGCGUGAUCUUGGCUCACUGCAACCUCUGCCUCACGGGUUCAAGCAAUUCUCCUGCCUCAGCCUCCUGGGUAGCUGGGACUACAGGCAUGUGCCACCACGCCCGGCUAAUUUUUUCUUUUUUUUUUUUUUUUGUAUUUUUAGUAGAGAUGGGGUUUCACCGUGUUAGCCAGGACGGUCUCAAUUUCCUGACCUCAUGAUCCACCCGCCUUGGCCUCCCAAAGUGCUGAGAUUACAGGCAUGAGCCACUGUGCCCAGCCUUCUUCUUCUUCUUUUUUUUUUUCUUUUUAAUGGACCAUAAGGAACCCAUGAAGGGAAAGGUGCUUAGGGAAAGGUGGCCCUAGAACUCAGCCUUCUCUGCCCUUAGAUUGGAACUUGUCUGUUCUUGAGUCCUUCAUCCAUCAACUGUGCUCCCAGACCUAAAGAACUCAAUCUUGUCCUGCUCUCUUUCCUUUCCAGGUGUGUGGAGUUCUAAACCUAACUUACUACAAAGUUCAGCCCAACAGAAGUCAUUUUCAUAGAACCACAGAAGAACACUGUCAGAGCUAGAAGGGUCUUUUGAGCUUAUCUUCUCUGGCUAUCUCAUUUUAUAAGAUAAGGAAAGUGAGUCCCAGACAGCAGAGACAAACUGAUUAAUUUGCACCAGAGUUGGAGCUCAAGGAAUCAUCUCAGGGCUCAUUUUACCAGCUUUCAUUUUCUAGUCUCACGCUUGAUUUAUACCAAUUUCCUCAGAAUGAGUCUCAUGAUAUCCAAUGUGAAAAAUAAAAACCCAAAACCCUUAAUGUCAUUCUGUGCCAUUCCAUGACACUUUUCAGUUUUCAAAGCUCUUGAGUACACUAUUUCAUUUGAGCUUUAAAAUAGCCCUGUGAGAUAGAGAGAAGGCAACUUUUUCAUGCUGAUUUCUGAGAUGCACAAACUGAGACUCAGGGAGUCCACAUGACAUGUCCCAAAUUACAGGGCUAAUACGGGGUGGUGGUGCAGACUGAAAUUCCAAUCCCUGACUGCUCUUUUAGGACUGUCUUCCAAGUCAUCAUUUUUUAUUAUUCUUGGUAUGUCAUGUGAUACCUAGAACAUACUUUGCAUUCAAUAAAUGCUUAUUGAGUGAAUAGUUGAACUGUUGUGUUUCAUAGAUUAAAUCAUGUUCCCAGAAACAGAUAAAAGCCUGGUACAUUGUAAUAAGGUAGAUGUUAGUCUUGCCCACAAAAAUGUCAGCAAAGAAAAGGGGAGUAGGGAAGCAUUUGUAAUUUUAGUUCACUUGAAACAGAAACAUUAUACUUUAUUGUUUCCCUGUGCCAUUUUCAUAAGCAUGAGAAAAUAAGUGCAAAUAUGAGGAAAUAAAAUGAAAGAUGAUAAGGUGUCAAAACUUCAGAUUGUCUGGGAAUUUCUGCUUAAGGGAGCCAAAUAAACAGAUUGCUCUACGGACUUGCUAGUCUUCCUGACCUAUAUUGUUCUUAUUUUUUAAUCUGGAGCCAUUCAACCCUAGAGGUUAAAGAAAAAAAAAAAAAACCCAACCUACUUUGUUCUAGGAAACAAGUAGGAAGAAAAAAACAAAAUUGGCUGCUGAGCCAAUUUUGACCUAGUCCUACACACUGGGGUUCCCUGGAUGGCCUGUGCAUAUGCCCCUGCCAUAUGGCCUAAUUAUAGAAACAGGGUUUUUUCCUUAUUCAUUCACUCAUCACAAUCUGAUAGUGAGCACCUACCAUUUGUCCUCAUCGAUUCUUCCAUUUAGUAGCAAAUAUAUAUUGAGCACCUACUAUUUGUUAGGCAUUGUGUCUGGUGCUGAGAGAUUGAGAAAAAAAGGCAUAGUCUAGCUCUCUAGAAGCUCAUAGUUCAGACUGAAGUGUAGGAAGUGCACCUGUAAAUAAACUGACAGCUACAAAAUCAGGUGAUUAGACCUAGAAACAGAACAUGGACAAAGUCCUCUGAGAACAGACAGUGGGGAGUGCCUGAUUCUAUUCAGCGAAAUGGGGUGAUUGAGAAGGCUUUGCAAAAGAUGCCAAAAAAGAGGCAUGGAAGAGACUUUAGAAGGAAGUGAAAGGACGCUCUGGAUAGAGACAGCAGCAUGAGCAAAGUCAGACACAUGUAAGAGGCCAUGCCACUUCUAAGAAAGCUAAUAGUAUCCCAAUAAUAAUAAAUUCCAGUACUGAUUGCUUAUGAAGGACUAAGCCAUGGGUUAUUUUACACACACAAUAUUACUGAAUCCUCCCUUCAGUGCUGAGAUUUACCUAUUUCAUGGAUGAAGAAGCUCUUGUCAUUGAGAGGAAGUGGGUGACCUACAAUUGCUCUUAUAGCAUAGCUAGUAAGAUGAGCCAGUAAUUGGACACUGAUCUGUCCAUUUCCAAAGCCCCUAUACUGCACUGCUGCUUCAUUUUAUUGAUGGGAAAACUGAGGUUGAAGCAGGUGAAUUCCCUUGCUCAAAGAUCACAUGGCUGUGACAGUUGAACCUAAAACCAGGUCAGGUCUGUGUACUAUCCGCUGCCCCACCCUGUCAUUCUGUACAGGGACUCAUUAAAGAGAUUUCAGUGUGGAGACAGAAGUGUUUGUUUUGUUUUGUUUUUCCACCUUAGUGACAAGAGCUGAGCUACACAGCCUCAAAAAUAAAUGUUACCCUUAUGGUGUGAAUAGAGAUAUCAACACAAAUUGCCUCUGAGUCUUUUGCAUCAUGAAAGGGAAAAUAUACUCAGCUGGAGGAGUUUCAGGAAAAAAAUGAAAGAGAAAGAAAAAUAAUGGGCUGACUGAAGAAGGAUAUGGACGUCCUUUGGGAAGAAAUGGCAAAAUAAAGGCAGAAGAUUUUAGGUUGAGGCAGUGGGAGCACUUGGGAGUUGCAGGAGAGGGUAGGCAGAAGCCAGGAAUGUACAACAUACAAGAAAUAAAGAGGACAGCGAAGGCUGCUCUUGUGUAGAGAAGCAAACAGAACACACAUCAGUCAAGACGGCUUUGUCUGAAAUCCACAGAGGAGAAAUGAGGAGGAGUAUUCUAAGAAAUUAAUGGAGGAAAAAGCAAAGAGUUGAGAUUAAGAGUCCCACUGGUGAUAGAGCACACAUCCAAAAAGAAAGAGAAAAGCGUAACUGAGAAAGUUAGAGUCUAAGAAAAAAAGUAGUAACACAAAGGAGAAAAGCCUAGAGGCUUAGAAAGGAAGCCUUGAAGGAUGACAAUAGAAUCACACAAAUACAGAGAAAUUACAAGUUAUCAUAGGGGGUAUAUAACACAACUAAGAAACAAAGAAUAUGAGCUCUGAGUGAAGAGCAAGUGCAGAUAACUUGAGUAUAAGAAAGAAGGCAAUGUGUACUGAUAAAAUGUAAAUGAUUCAUGAAGGGAGCAGGGGUCGAUAGCUAACACUUAUUGAUCACCUGUAAUGUGCCCAGUAUUUUAUAUAUGGUCUAUUAUUUAAUUGUCCUAACAGUUCUGUGUUGUCAGCAUGUUUAGACAUAUGUUCCUGAUCCAGGAGAGAUUAAGUGCUUUAAACGAGGUCACACCUCUCGCAGUGCUAGAGCAAGGGCAAGCAUUGAGCUGUGCGUAAGUCCAGAGUCACUCCUUUACCUAUAUUUCAACCAGCCUUCAUCAAGAUUGGUGGGUUAUACACCGGUCAGUAAAGAGCAACAUGUUUGGAAAUGCUAUUCAGUAUAUUCUCGGAUGUUAAAAUACAACAAAUGCUAUUAUUAAACUAUAUCAAGUGAUUUUCACAGUGCUAGAAACACAGAGAUCACUCCAUAAACGUUGGUUUUAAUGAUUAUGCUUAGACAGAAAUUGGACCUGGAAAAUUGAUGUGAUUUAUGUGUGAGCAAGAAUAGAGAUUGAAAAAGAUAGAGGGAAAGAUAUUACAAUUUCUCUGCUGAGAGCUGAUGGUAAGCAUCUUUUCCCAAUCCCACAUUUAUUGACAUCAUGUUGGUAUCUUGAAAUUAGCCAUGGUGGGAGUAUUUACACCAUAGAAUUUGGCAAACAGAAUCAAGGCUUUCUAUUCCCCCCAUCUCACCCCUGGAGAGCUGGUUGUUAAAUAUUUACCAGCAUACCAGUCUAUAUGUCCCAUCUGGGAGGCUGGGUGGGAAGAUGUAUGAUCUUAAUUAUAUUAUAGGAAAGUUCAAAAAGCAUGUUUUUAAAUAAAUUUACCUUCCCCUCAAAACACACACUAAAAUAUGCUUGUAGAAACAAGAUUUUUUCUUGAAACAAGAAAAAUAAUUUAUUUGAAAGACGAUUUUAAAUGUCUUAGGGAAAAAGUAUAAUGUAAGGAAGUGGCUAUGUAUGACCUGUGAAGCUACAUGUUAAAACUUGGAUCUGGACAACAGACAUUCAGAUACAUGUACUAAAAUUCAGAAGCAUCAUAGAGCAUGUAUGAGAACAGCUUUUGGGAUAAAUGCAUUGGAAAUUAAAUUCUGGCUCUGCCACUUGCUAGCCAUGGAAUCUUAGGCCAAUUAGUUAACUUCUUUGUUGCAAUUUCAUCUGUAAAAUAAGGAUAAGUACAGUAAUUCUCAGAGGAAGUCCACAGGACUUGGUGAAGCAGUGCAGGCCAAGCAAUUUGCACAGUGCCUGAGACACAGAUUCAUCAUUACACGCUGGCUUCCAUAACUAUACCUAGCCAGAAACUGGACCUGGGAAAUUGCUACAGUGUAUGUGCAUGAAAGAAUACAGAUGGUAAGAGAGGAAACACUGCCCUCUUUUCUGAUUCUUCUAGGGUAACAAAUGCAAUGAAUUUCUCAAAUGCUGAAAUAUUUGACUAUAACACAUAGGGGAUCCUUGGAGACGACAGAAAAUACAUAGUGGAGAUAUCAGUUUCCUUCCUGUGAAACAAGGUGAAUUGGCUUUAUCAGUGCUUCUCAAAUCUGCUUAAUGAUCAAAUCACCCAGGGAAUUCCAAAAAUUAUGCACUUCCUCUUCAUAACUUAGAAGGGUUUCAUUAAGUCCUUCAAGGUUGGGGUCCAUGAACCUGUCUCUUUUUUCAAAGCACCCUCUCCAGGAGAUUUUGGUUAUUAGUUAGGUUUGCUGACCACUUAACUACAUCUCAGUUCUAUCUGUGUCAACCAAAGAUAAAAUUAUUACCUAUCCAAUUGCAGGCCCAGCCCCCACCCCUGGAUGUUUCUCUUGAACUAGCUCCUUGCCCCAGAAUUGGGGGCCCCUGACCAUCAAGGCUGGUCACAGUUUGGGAAGUCACUGCCUCCCAAGGAAGUUCAUUCAGCAUUGGUUAGGUCUGGCUCCCCUGAAAACUCAGGCUUAGGCUAACUCCACACCUGUUUAUGCCCUGUAAUGUCCAUCUACCACUCCGCUCGGGGUCAAGUAGAGUCUAUGGAGGGCAUAUGCCAGCACACAGCCUGGCAUUCUGUGAGUGCUUGGGAAUAUCCAAGGGACCCCUAUGGGCCCGAAAUCCUACUGGAAUUCAGUGCACUAGCAAACACUGGUUGAUGAUCUGAUCAGAGAAGGCUUCCAGAAGAAAUGAAGUUUUAGCUGGACUUUGAAGGAUAGAAAGGGCUUAAGGAGAUAGAAAUUAGGUGUUGGGAAAUGUUGAAGCUCCUUAUCUUAGCAAGGGAUGAGAUCAGAAAUGAGUUUUUACAUCUGUCACUCAUGGAUGGUGUGGUGGAUGGAUUAAAGGGGAGAAUACGGGAGGUAAGAAACCUCCCUUGCAUGGUCUAUGCACACAGGGAGAAGCCAAUGGGCACAGUAUGGUGGGAGGAUUUGAAGGCCACGAGGGCAGUUGGGGCCAUGCAGUCACAGAGUGGGGAAAUAGCAUUUAUUAAGCCCCUACUGUGUGCCAGUGGUCUGCCUCCACUAUCUAACUCCCUCUCCAUCCUAAUCUAAGAAAGUAAGCAUCUUUAUCCCCAUUUGGCAUGCUAACAAACUGAGGAUGACAACAGUUAUAUGACUUUCUUAAAGCUAUUCAUGCAAGAAGUGGUAAAAAUUAGGAUUUGCACCCAGACUGGCUUGUCUCUACAUAUCAGGAACAGAAAGACAUGUAAUUAAACUGCAGAUUUUUUUAAAAAAAGGGAAAUGGUGACAGAGUAGCCAUUUGCAGAGGAAGCAAAGGGGGUAUCUAGAUAAAAAAUAGAAGGAGAGAAACACACACACAUACACACACACACACACACACACAAUUACAGUCUAAGUGAGCCUGUCCCCUUGUCCUCUGGCUAAUAUAUUCUGGGGCGAGUUUAGGGGAUCUAGGAGAGAAUGACUUGUCAGCUCAUAGGAAGUAAAUGAUAGCAUGAGAAUUACCGAUAAUCUUAUUCUCCUCUUUCAAACCUACCAAGGGACUAAGACGCAUGUAUUUUUUUUCUUUUUUCAGAAGAGGUUCGUUUUUCCUUUCAUAACCACGGGCCUAGAUUGUUUCUCUUUUCCCUCUGGUGUUUGGUCAAAUACAACCUGAUACGUGAUGAGACUGAGCCUUUGCUAGGGGAUACAAAAAAAAAAAAAAAAAAAAAAAAAAAAAAAAAACCAAAGUCGUACAUGUUAGGCAUUUCCAUUCAGAAGGACCUCCUCCUGUCUCUUCCACUUGAGGCUUUUGCUCAAAUUAAAUUACCUUCUGCCUGUUGUCACCACUGUUCUAUAUAUAUCUAUUGCCUGAGCUAUUGAGAUAAAUGAGUGGAGCCCAAGUUGUUGGGUCAGGCCACAGGAGACAUCACAGUUGCUACCAACUCUCUAAAAGAACAGAUUGUGUUUCUGGCCCUGAAAGUCCCACUCCAUGCUUUGUGGGACAGAGCUAAAAAGGGCUAUAGUAUCUAUGUCUCGUGAUUUUUGAGUUCAUUUUCUAACAAGAUCAGGAAUCUCUUUGACAUUCAUCAAAGCAAUUGAGGGUAAAGUCUCCACGUUCUUUUGAUGGGUUCCUAGGGCCAGUCUUUUCCGUUUCAAUCCACCCACCACACCAUCCCCUGAGUAACAGAGUUACAUCUCAUUUCCGAUCUUUUCCCUCCCUAGAAUAAAGAACUUCAGUAUUUCUAAACACCUUAAGAGACAUUCCAGGCCCUUCUGGGUCUUCCCUGCUGCUGUCCUUCUAAUUUUUUUCUUCUUUAUCUCACCUUUAUUUUUACUAUUAAAAACAAUUGUAAUAAUAGGUAUCACAAAUUUAAGUGCUUACUAUAUGAUGGUGUGCCAAUUAAUUUCUAUUCAUCAUAUUAAUGUAUUUUAUCCCAUUAUAAUUCUCUGAGGCAAACAUCUGCAGUAUCCUCAAUGUACCAGACUAGAUGAUGAAACUUAGGAACAGAAGGGUUAAGUAGCGUAACCUGCCCCAGGUCACACAGCUUCUAUGUGGUAGAUCAGUGAUUUAGGUCUGUCUGUCACCAAACCCCAAAUCACUAAUCUUUACCUCAUGUAUGUCACACUACAAUAUAGCCACUUGUUUACAUGUCUGUCCCUCUGUCACCUAAAUCAUCAACUCCUACCAAGAGAUUAAGAAUCAUGCUUUUUUUUCCCAUUGUUUUUGUCCCUGCUGGAACAGGGUCAUGGUGGCCACACAGUAUAUAUUUCCCCAAUUUUAACAUUUUUUUAUUUUAAAAAGAGGAGGGCAAUAUUGCCAAUGGAUGGGGUUGAUAUAAAGAUUUUCUUUUUCCUGAAAUGGAGUCUUGCUCUGUCACCCAGGCUGAAGUGCAAUGGUUCACCCUUGGCUCACUACAACCUCCGCCUCCCAGAUUCAGGUGAUUCUCGUGCCUCAGCCACCUU
rnacentral:lncRNA from 10 species